GGGAGCUCGGUUUCCUGGGAUACGGCCUGUGGAUUACACUUGGCCCCCAAAUCCCCUGCAGUGUGUCUAAACUGAAGCCCCAGCAGUUGGAACCAGUAAUGAGCUAGGUAUAACCUUGGGCAGUUUUGUCUUCGACUAAAUUUUCUUUUGGUUCCUGAUAGGUCUCCUGGGACUGCUCCCACGUUUCCCAUCACAGCACAAGCUGCAAACGAGACUCUUGGGUUUCAGCAGGGAGGCUUCAGUUUCGAUGGUCCGCUUUCAAAGAACGAGACUGGCUCAGUCCAGCUUGAAAGCAGUGUGAGGAAUAUUCUUCCCCUUAACGGUUAAGAAAAAAAUGAACUGAAGAAAUAAAUUACUACGACACCAGGGACCGUGGCGCUGAGAGAAUGAAAUAACCAAAGGGAAAAUCACUUUUCCAUCAUUGCAUAGUCUCCCGCAGCAGCAAAUGCAAAGGACAGCACAGAAAAGCCACUUCAUUUUUACACAGCCCGGGGGUCAUUUUUCGGCUUACCUGGGCUCCUAUGCUAUCUGGUUGCUUUGUAAGAGCACACACACCCUGACCUCCCUAACCCUCAAAGAGAAGGUAGUUCCCUGCACAUGAAGCACAAUGACAAAACACACGCACUCAAGCCUCUAGAAAGCUGCAGCUGUCUCCGCCUCUUGACGGCAUUUAGAUACACACUGUGGGAUCGGCAAGGCAGAGCCUCAGAGCAGGGUCACAAGGGCAGCUGCCUGUGGUCCUUUGUCCAAAGGACUGGGACGAUCCCAUUCUCCCAGCAGCUACUCCAGGGGGGGCAGCAGCUGGGCCCUGGCCUCCUCUUGGGCCGGGGCUUCCAGGUCCAGACACCGGCCACUGCCCUGGGUUUGUUACGGCUGUAGCCGGGGCAACAGCAGAGGCCGAGGCUGGCCAGGCUCUGAAAGCACAUUAUAAGAUAAAGUGUACAUUGUAAUAAAAAUUGUCUGCAGCUAUUAGAUGAAUCUUUAUAAAUCAGAUCUAAGAUAAAUUAACAUUUUAGAGCUGUGAGUUCGGAAGCAGUUGUCCAAAAGAGGAAGCAACAGGCUGGAGGCGCCAAAGUCUGACAAUGGUGUAAAGUCUCACUUUAGACUGUGUUCCUUCCCUACAGGUGGUCAGAGGCUGCCACCAACUCAAACCACUGCCUAAGAGCAUCACUGAGCGUCUCGGGGAGCGCGUUCACAUCGCGAAGGAUGAUGUAGAAUGGGAACGGGAACUCUUCCAUGUAGGAUCGGAUUUCAGGCAUCUCUCCAGGUCCUUUAAAUAUGGGCACUUUGAUGUCCAAGAUAGAAUCCUGUAAACAGGAGACAUUUUGAAAUAAAAACCAAACCAAUAUC